GUUCAAGGUAACAUGCCAUUACAUAACAAGUUCAAGGCAAAUUUUGAUGCUUGGGGCCAGAGCCCUUUGAAAGGGUUUUGCUGCAAGUGUGCAAGUUUCUUGUGCACGAUGGCAACAUCCACGAAAUGGGGACAUCAACUUCUGAAAAACAGAACAUUUAGUUUCUCCCUGUCUGGAAAACAUUUGACAGGCCAUGUUAGCUAUUGAUCAGAUUCUCAGUAACCUUUCCUUGCCUGGUUCCCUGGUCACAGUAUGAGUUUGGGAGGGUUUUGAAAAGGGGAAUGACAUGAUUGGGUUUACAUCUUUUAGGAUCAUCGUGGCUACUGUGUUGAAAAAUUAUGGAAAAGAACAAAAGCAGAAGAGGGAAACCAGUUACAGGCUAUUGCAGUGGUUCAGGCAGGAGAAGGAGGUGCGUGGAGCCGGGCAGCAGCUAUGCAGAUGGUUCGAAGUAGUCAUAUUCUGGAUAAAUUUUGAAGGCAGAGGUGAUAAGAUUUGCUGAUGAAGUGGAUGUGGCACUCGAGAGAAGCGAAGUACUAAAGAUGACACCUUGAUUCUGGACCAGAGCAACUGGAGGAGUGGUGGUGCCAUUUACUGAGAUGGAAAAAUCUGGAGGAGAAGACAGUUGAGAAGAAAAAGUGCACUGACCCCUGACAUAGGAAGUAAGGGGGAAAUUGGAGGAACAAUGGACUUGAAGAGAUGAUGGGAAUGGAUCCAGGUUACAAGUACCGUACUGGAUUACAAGUACUGUACCAGGUUAUAAGUACUGGCCUUAAGUAGGAGCAGGGACAUUUUCCCUUUGUAACUGGGGUGAAAGCAGGUGGAAUAUACAAACAGUGGGACAUUAGUAAAUCUGGAGGUGGCAUACCAGGUUGUGCUUUUUUGAUUAUUUCUAUUUUCGCCACUUAAAAAAGAAGUGAAGUCGUCUAAUGAGAGUGUGGAGGGGAGAAAAUGUCUGAUAUACAGAUAUGAGAAACAAAGUCCAUAAAACCAAAGGGAAGGG
rnacentral:lncRNA from 1 species